rnacentral:rRNA from 1 species
UACGUAGGGUGCAAGCGUUAAUCGGAAUUACUGGGCGUAAAGCGUGCGCAGGCGGCUUUGCAAGACAGAUGUGAAAUCCCCGGGCUCAACCUGGGAACUGCAUUUGUGACUGCAUCGCUGGAGUGCGGCAGAGGGGGAUGGAAUUCCGCGUGUAGCAGUGAAAUGCGUAGAUAUGCGGAGGAACACCGAUGGCGAAGGCAAUCCCCUGGGCCUGCACUGACGCUCA